rnacentral:rRNA from 1 species
GCCCAAUAGCUAGCCCAACCCCCUAAAAAUAACAAACCACUAUUAAACAAACCCUAACGCACCACACAAUGCAAAACAAACCAUUUUCCCCUCUUAGUAUGGGAGACAGAAAAGAGACUCGGCGCAAUAAAGAAAGUACCGCAAGGGAAAGCUGAAAGAGAAAUGAAAUAACCCAAUUAAAGCUCAAUAAAGCAGAGACUAACCCU